rnacentral:rRNA from 1 species
GCACAAGCGGUGGAGCAUGUGGUUCAAUUCGACGCAACGCGAAGAACCUUACCCAGGCUCGAACGGCAACUGACAUCCGGCGAAAGCCGGCUCCCGCAAGGGCAGUUGUCGAGGUGCUGCAUGGCUGUCGUCAGCUCGUGUCGUGAGAUGUUGGGUUAAGUCCCGCAACGAGCGCAACCCUUGUCCGCUGUUGCCAUCAGGUUAAGCUGGGCACUCUGCGGAGACUGCCGGUGAUAAACCGGAGGAAGGUGGGGAUGACGUCAAGUCAGCAUGGCCUUUAUGUCUGGGGCUACACACGUGCUACAAUGGCAGGUACAAACCGUCGCGAUGCCGCGAGGUGGAGCUAAUCGGAGAAAACCUGUCUCAGUUCGGAUUGCAGGCUGCAACUCGCCUGCAUGAAGUUGGAAUCGCUAGUAAUCGCGGAUCAGCACGCCGCGGUGAAUACGUUCCCGGGC